rnacentral:rRNA from 1 species
CCUACGGGGGGCAGCAGUGGGGAAUAUUGGACAAUGGGCGAAAGCCUGAUCCAGCCAUGCCGCGUGUGUGAAGAAGGCCUUCGGGUUGUAAAGCACUUUCAGUGGGGAAGAAAGCCUUGGGGCUAAUACCCUCGAGGAAGGACAUCACCCACAGAAGAAGCACCGGCUAACUCCGUGCCAGCAGCCGCGGUAAUACGGAGGGUGCGAGCGUUAAUCGGAAUUACUGGGCGUAAAGCGCGCGUAGGCGGUCUGAUAAGCCGGUUGUGAAAGCCCCGGGCUCAACCUGGGAACGGCAUCCGGAACUGUCAGGCUAGAGUGCAGGAGAGGAAGGUAGAAUUCCCGGUGUAGCGGUGAAAUGCGUAGAGAUCGGGAGGAAUACCAGUGGCGAAGGCGGCCUUCUGGACUGACACUGACGCUGAGGUGCGAAAGCGUGGGUAGCAAACAGGAUUAGAUACCCUGGUAGC